rnacentral:misc_RNA from 1 species
GAAAUGCGAUAAGUAGUGUGAAUUGCAGAAUUCAGUGAAUCAUCGAAUCUUUGAACGCACAUUGCGCCCCUUGGUAUUCCAUGGGGCAUGCCUGUUCGAGCGUCAUUUGUACCCUCAAGCUCUGCUUGGUGUUGGGUGUUUGUCCCCAUCUCCGCGCGUGGACUCGCCCCAAAGUGAUUGGCAGCCGGCGUACUGGUCCCGGAGCGCAGCACAUGUCGCGCAAACGAGUGCCUUGGUACGGCGGCGUCCAUAAGCCCCUCUCUCACGCUCUUGACCUCGGAUCAGGUAGGGAUACCCGCUGAACUUAAGC